rnacentral:rRNA from 1 species
AGAGUUUGAUCCUGGCUCAGGAUGAACGCUGGCGGCGUGCUUCACACAUGCAAGUCGAACGGUAAGGUCCCCUUCGGGGGAUACACGAGUGGCGAACGGGUGAGUAACACGUGGGGAACCUGCCCCUUACACUGGGACAACCACGGGAAACUGUGGCUAAUACCAGAUACUCCGCAAGGAUCGCAUGGUCCUAUCGGGAAAGCUCCGGCGGUAAGGGAUGGCCCCGCGGCCCAUUAGUUAGUUGGUGAGGUAACGGCUCACCAAGGCAUCGAUGGGUAGCCGAGCUGAGAGGCUGACCGGCCACACUGGGGCUGAGACACGGCCCAGACUCCUACGGGAGGCAGCAGUGGGGAAUAUUGCACAAUGGGCGAAAGCCUGAUGCAGCAACGCCGCGUGCGGGACGAAGGCCUUCGGGUCGUAAACCGCUUUCAGCAGGGACGAGAGUGACGGUACCUGCAGAAGAAGCCCCGGCUAAAUACGUGCCAGCAGCCGCGGUAAUACGUAUGGGGCAAGCGUUAUCCGGAUUCAUUGGGCGUAAAGCGCGCGUAGGCGGCUUGCUAAGUCGGGUGUGAAAACCGGGGGCUCAACCCGCGGACUGCUUUCGAAACUGGCAGGCUUGAGUCUGGUAGAGGAAAGUGGAAUUCAGAGUGUAGCGGUGAAAUGCGCAGAUAUUCUGAGGAACACCAGUGGCGAAGGCGGCUUUCUGGGCCACGACUGACGCUGAGGCGCGAAAGCUAGGGGAGCAAACAGGAUUAGAUACCCUGGUAGUCCUAGCCGUAAACGAUGGGCACUAGGUGUGGGGGAUCAUCGACAUCUUCCGUGCCGUAGCUAACGCAUUAAGUGCCCCGCCUGGGGAGUACGGCCGCAAGGUUAAAACUCAAAGGAAUUGACGGGGGCCCGCACAAGCAGCGGAGCAUGUGGUUUAAUUCGACGCAACCCGAAGAACCUUACCAGGUCUUGACAUGCAGGGAAAAGUGGCGGAAACGUCGUGUCCGAGAGGGCCCUGCACAGGUGGUGCAUGGCUGUCGUC